UACGUAGGUGUCAAGCGUUGUCCGGAUUUAUUGGGCGUAAAGCGCCCGCAGGCGGCUUGCCAAGUCUGACGUGAAAUCUCCCGGCUCAACUGGGAGGGUGCAUCGGAAACUGGCAGGCUUGAGGCAGGGAGAGGGAUGUGGAAUUCCUGGUGUAGCGGUGAAAUGCGCAGAUAUCAGGAAGAACACCCGUGGCGAAAGCGGCUCUCUGGAACGGUACUGACGCUGAGACGCGAAAGCGUGGGGAGCGAACAGG
rnacentral:rRNA from 1 species